rnacentral:lncRNA from 1 species
AAAUCCCUCCCCUAAUUAGUAAUAUUGUCCAUAGGUCUUAAAGUGAGGUGCUAAGACUAAGAUUCAUUCUCCAAUUCAAGAAUGAAGAUGUAUUAUAUCCAAAAAAGGCUUCAGCAAGAUAGCAUCAUUAGCAACGUGAGAUUCCACAGUUCUUCAACAAUUUAAAACGUAAGACUUCAUAGGUUCUUCGGCAAUUCAAAACAUGAGAUUUCACAAUUAUAAGGGAGUAUGGUGCAAUCUUUCUCAAGAAUAUCAUACAGAUUUUUCCCUAAUCCAGGUAUGUUAAGGCUAAUCCUUCUUUCUUUUGGCAUGAUCCAAGCAACGAUACGUAAACGUAAUGUUAUUCCAUAAAAUAUUCUACUCUUAGAAGUUAAGGAUGUCUACGUUAUUCAUUCCUAUGAAAUGUAAUUCAAAGCAUGUCUAAGUAUGAGUCAUCGUGUCAGAGUUUUGCUACAGACUUAUGGGUAGGCUGACCUAUCCUAUUUGAUGUCAAACAAUCUUAGAGGCUUUGUAGAUAGAGGUUCAUUUUGUACAGUAUGUCAGAGGCCUUGAUGGGCCAUAUAUAUUUAUGUUUUAAGAACGAUGGUUCAGUGAUACAGUGUUGCCCACUUAUAGUUAUACAUUACGAGUUGUGGUCAUGUUGGCCCAUGAUAGUUACAAAGAAAAUAAAUGUUGCAAAGUGAUUCGCUCAGGCCAGUGCGGCACCGGGUGCCAGUCACGCCUCCCUAGGUUUGGAGCGUGACAAAAUUGUGUUAAAUCAGAGUAGGCUAAAUGAUGAGGAUGCAGUCAAGCUAUGUAUUAUGUAUCUUAUAGAGUUCUUCCUGUUUGAUUCAAAGAAAGAAAAUGGUUUGAUCGACUACUUCUGCUUCUACUUGACUGACUCAGGCCAAUGUGCAAAUUACCCAUGGGGUAUAAAUGCUUAUACACAUUUGCUUCAGUCUGUGAGACAUAAGUUGAGCCCAUCUGUACAUUUUUACCUUCUUCGAGGGUACCCCUCGCGAUGCAAAUCUGGUUGUAUGAGUGUUGCUCCAUAGCUAACACAGAUAUUGCAAUAAGGGUUGGCCAUUCGAUCCCCGUAUUCUUAACUGGACAACAACAAAGGAUAAAAUAUGGAUGUUUACAUUAGAAGAGAAGUGAUCAAACCAUCUUGGAUUAGAAUAAAUUUUCACACUCUAUCUUACUAAUUUUGGGGUGCUCCAAUUUUGUUCGUGAAGAAGAAGGAUGGCUUUAUGCGGAUGUGCAUUGAUUAUAGACAGCUAAACAAAGUUACAGUCAAGAAAAAGUACCCAUUGUCGCAUUUUGAUGACUUAUUUGACCGGCUACAUGGUGCUAAAGUGUUUUCAAAGAUUGAUUUGAGGUCAGGGUAUCAUCAGUUGAAGAUUCGAGACUCAGAUAUCCCGAAGACUGCUUUCAAGACUCGUAGGGCCGCUACGAGUUUCUAGUGAUGUCCUUUGGGCUGACCAAUGCCCCAACAACAUUUAUGCACCUGAUGAACAGUGUAUUCUAGCCAUAUCUUGAUUCUUUCGUCAUCAUAUUGAUUGAUGAUACCUUGGUGUAUUCCCGCAACCGGGAGGAUCAUGAGCUGCAUUUGAGGAUCGUGCUCCAGACAUUGAGAGAGAAGAAGUUAUAUGCAAAAUUCUCAAAGUGUGAAUUCUGGCUUGAUUCGGUGGCAUUUUUGAGCCAUAGUGUCUACAAAGGGGAUCAAAGUAGAUCCAAAGAAGAUUGAGGCAGUUCAGAGUUGGUCUAGAUCAUCUUCAACUACCGAGAUUCAAAAUUUCCUUGGUUUGGCCAGAUAUUAUAGUCGUUUCAUAGAGCGUUUCUCGUCCAUUGCUUCACUUUUGACCAGAUUGACCAAGAAGGGUGCUCCAUUCAGGUGGUCCGAUGAGUAUGAGGAGAGCUUUCAGAAGAUCAAGACUGCCUUGACCACAACUCUAGUUCUAGUUUUUCCUUCAGCAUUGGGUUCAUAUACGGUUUAUUGUGAUGCUUCGCGAAUUGGUAUUGGGUGUGUCUUGAUGCAGGAGGGUAGGGUGAUUGCUUAUGCUUCGCACCAAUUGAAGCCUCAUGAGAAGAACUACCCUGUUCAUGAUCUAGAGUUAGUAGCCAUAAUUCACGCAUUGAAUAUUUGGAGACAUUAUCUCUACGGUGUGUCUUGAGAGGUAUUCACAGAUCAUCGGAGUCUACGGCACUUGUUUAAGCAAAAGGACCUAAACUUGAGGUGGCAGAGGUGGUUAGAGAUGUUGAAAGACUAUGAUAUCACUAUUUUGUAUCAUUUCGGAAAGGCCAAUAUGGUGGCUAAUCCCUUGAGUAGGAAGGCGGAGAGUAUGGGUAGCCUUGCAUAUAUUCCAGUUGGUGAGAGAACGUUAGCACUGGAUAUGCAGGCGUUGGCCAAUCAGUUUGUGAUAUUGGAUGUUUCAGAGCCCAGCUGGGUUCUAGCUUGCGUGGUUUCUCGGUCUUCUUUGUAUGAGUGCAUCAGAGAGCGUUAGUAUGAUGACCCCCAUUUGCUUGUCCUUGGACACGGUGCAGCACGGUGAUGCCAAGGAGGUUUCUAUCGGAGAUGACAGAAUGUUACGGAUGCAAGGGCAGAUAUGUGUGCCUAAUGUCGAUGGGUUGCGUGAGUUGAUUCCUGAGGAGGCCUACAGUUUGCGAUACUCCAUUCAUUCGGGUACCGCUAAGAUGUAUUAGGAUUUGAGGCAGAAUUAUUGGUGGAGAAGAAUGAAGAAUGAUAUAGUGGAGUAUAUGGCUCGGUGCUUCAACUGUCAGCAGGUGAAGUACGAGCAUUAGAGGUUGGAGGGUUUGCUUUAGAGACUUGAGAUUCCCGAGUAGAAGUGGGAGCGUAUUACCAUGGAUUUUGUUGUUGGGAUCUCACAGACUUUGAAGAAAUUUGAUGCAGUACUGUGGGUGAGUGUGGAUAGGCUGACUAAAUCGCACAUUUCAUCCCGGUAGUGACUACCUAUUAUUCGGAGUAGUUGGCUCAAAUCUAUAUCCGUGAUAUUGUUCAUCUCCAUGGAAUGCCGGUGUCCAUUAUAUCUGAUCGGGGCACGUAGUUCACAUCGCAUUUCCGGAGAGCCGUGUAGCGUAAGUUAGUCAUACGGGUUGAGUUGAGUACAACAUUUCAUCCCCAGACGAACAGGCAGACUGAGCACACCAUUCAAAUUUGGAAGGUAUGCUACGCGCCUGUGUUAUAUAUUUUAGGGGUUCAUGGGAUCAGUUCCUACCACUUGUCAAGUUUUCCUACAACAACAACUACCAAUCGAGUAUUCAGAUGGCUUCUUAUGAGGCCCUAUAUGGGAGGCGGUGUCUUUCUCCAAUUGGUUGGUUUGAGCCGGGGGAGGCUAGGUUGUUGGGCACUUAUCUGGUUCGGGAUGCCUUGGAGAAGGUCAAGUUGAUUCAGGAUCGGCUUCGUACAAUAUAGUCUAGGCAGAAGAGUUAUGUUGAUCAAAAGGUUCGUGAUGUAGCAUUUAUGGUGGGAGAGAGGGUUUUUCUGUUGAUUUCACCCAUGAAGGGUGUGAUGAGAUUCGGAAAGAAGGGUAAGUUGAGCCCUAGGUAUAUUGGUCCUUUUGAGAUCCUUGAGAGAGUGGGGGAAGCGGCCUAAAAGCUUCCAUUUCCACCCAACUUAUCGACAGUUCACCCAAUGUUCCAUAUCUCCAUGCUCCGAAAGUAUUAUGGUGAUCCGUCCCAUGUAUUAGAUUUCAGCUUAGUCCAAUUGGACAUGGAUUUGACUUAUGUUGAGGAGCCGGUGACAUCUUGGACAUGCAAGUCCGAAAGUUGAGAUCAAAGAACAUUGCUUCAGUGAAGGUUCAACGGAGGGGUCAUCCGGUUGAGGAGGCGACCUGGGAUACUGAUCACGACAUGUGGAGUCGCUAUCCUCACCUUUUUAUCACUUCAAGUAUGUCUCUAUGCACGUUCGAGGAUGAAAGUUUGUUUUUAAAGGGGGAGAAUUUAACGACCCGACAAGUCAUUUUGUGAAUUUGCGGCUCAUUUCCCCUUUUGAUGCUUCACACAUAUGUUUAUGACUUACGGGGUUGAUUGAUUUCGUUUGGGGAAGGUUUCGGGUUGAUUUGGACCAUUUGGCUCUUGGUUUAGAGGCCUAGUUAGAAAUAUUAAUGAAAGUUUGACUUUUGUGAAAAUAACCCGAAAACUGUGUUUUGAUGGCUCCGAUAGGUUCAUAUGGGGAUUUUGGACUUGAGUGUAUGUCCAGAAUCGAAUUCAGAGGUCCGUAGGUUGAUUUGUGUUGUGUUGCCGAAAUUUAGCAAUUCGAGGUUUAGAAGAAUUCUCAAGUUUAACCAUAGGUUGACUUUUGGCUAUCAGGUUUGAAAUUUGGUUUUGGGACUUGGAAUAGGUCUGUUAUGCUAUUUAAAACUUGUCUGCAAAAUUUGGUGUCAUUUGAAGUUGAUUUAAUAUAAUUCGGACGCUUGGUUGCAUUUCUAGAGGUUCUUGAACUUUUCUUUGAAAUUCAUGCGAUUUGAUAUCUGAUUCGUAGUUCUAGAUGUUAUUUUCGUGUUUUGCUCGCAUGAGCAAUUUUAUAUGAUGUUUUUAGACUUGUGUGGAUGUUUGGUUUGGAGCCCCGAUGGUUUGGAUGAGUUUCAGACGCAUUCCGGAAUGGUUUUGGAACAGAAACAGAAUUACUGGUGUGGUGGUGCUCUAAUGUCACAUUGCGAGCACCAGCAUCGCAAUUGCGAACAUGGCAGGUGAUCACGCCCAACUCUAGUCCUAAAAAGGAUAAGCGGUCGCUGCAAAUAUAAUCCGGUCUAAAAGUCCGGAGUUAAAUCCCACAGAGAACUAAGGUUUUGAUACAAUUGUUGACUAUCACUAAGAAGACAAGCUCGAACAAUUCCGAAGUUAUAAAUAUUAAGAUUCUUAUAUCUAACUAAUUAACUAACAAAUUAAAGUAGCAAAUUAACAACUAGGGAUAUUAACGGUUGGAGAAAAGAUUAAGGAGGUCUAGAGUUAUGAUUUCCACAAUUGUCGGAAUCCUUCCCGCUAUGUCUUCUAUAAUUUCGCAUAAGUAUUCUCUAUUGAUCAUGAGCACUCGAGUUAUCGUAAUUCUCUCUCGAGCAACUACAACAAUGUACUAGUCAUAUUCUCUCGAAUUACGCUAGCUCACACUUUUUCACUACUCACUAAGAUCAUGUGAAAGCUUCGUUAUCUCUAAUCCUGCUGUUAAACCUGCUGUAUUGAUCUCUCAUAUACGUUAGGAGUGACGUUGUUCAACAACCACUUAUAUAUAUAUAUACUCUUUUCCAAGCAAUACAUAAUAAAUAGGCACCGUUAAUUGAGAGCUCUUCAAUUAACUAAAAUAAGUAUAUAGUUGAACAAAUAGAAAAAUUCAAAGACUCAAUUAUAUCAAAACGUAUCAAGAAUUCAUCCUACAAAAGGAUUCAUCAAAACCCUAGAUAAAAAAUUAGCUAUUCAUAAUAGUAUGCAAAACUACAAUACUAGAAUUCAUAACCAAUAAUGAAAAUAGGAAGAAGGAAGUGAAAAACUCGUAGAAGAAUUUUCUGCCUUACUCCUAGCGUGUUCUUGUCUCCUUGGGUCGAAUACACUCUCUAAUUAUGUCUAACCCUCUAAAAACUAACUUUAAGGGGUAUUUAUAGGGUAAGGGCCGAAUUUACAUGUCCAAUACUAAUGAGGAAUUAAACUUUUUUUCGUAUGGCAUUGUUGGCGCCUUGUACUGCCUGUAACACUGUAGUUUCGGUACUAGGCACUGUUUGUAGCAUUGUCUUUUUGGCGCAAGGCAUUGUCUAUGGCACUGAUGACAGUGCCCUGAACAAUGCCUUGCACUGUCUAUGGCACUGUUGUUAUUGCGCAAGGCACUGUCUAUGGCACUGACUUUUCGUUGCCUUGCACGUCUUCUUUUAUUACUCAAUUUUAUAGCUCUGAAGUACCAUUUCGUGCAACUUUUCUCCAACUCAUGUCCAAGAAUUCCUACACAUGAAAUUUACUCUAUUAAGCGCAAUUGUCGCAUAAAUUGACAUCCAAACAACAAGCAAGUAGGACUUAUUAUGGUUGUAAUGUGGGCUAAGGGAUGGGUAUGAUAUAUUUAGGAUAUAGUGGAUAAUCCUCCUAAGCACUUUAACACAUCACGUAUUCAUCUUUAAGCGUAAAAUUUCUUCAGUCCAUUUCAAUCAUCACAAGAUAGCUUAACCCGGAAUAUUUUUCCUUCUUCUUUACGCACUGCUUCAGAUCACAUCCAUUAGCAAAAAUAAGAAACCUUUAUUUAUUCAAUUAUUCGUUCCUUCUUAUUUUUUUUUACUUUUACCUUGCCACUAGUGGAUUUUUAUUUAAAGCACAAGUGUACAUUUCUUCCUUCCAUUGGUUCCACUAAAAAGCUACCCCAAGUUUCCUCAUUACUUCUCUCUAGCACUCUCUUUAAAAUUCAAGUGCUUUAAGAGGUAUAAGGAUCAAAAUAAUUCAAUUAAGAACAAAAGGGGAUAGGCUUAUAAUGCGGGUGCCAAAAGUAAGUCUUAUGGGCUCAAAAGGGUAACUACAGAAGAUUUUAUUUGUGAUAGACAACAAAAGUAAAACAGAUCAAAAAAAGCCUAACUUCACUUUUCAAACUGAGUAACACCUAGGAUUUCGAUUCAAUUCACAUUACGAGAAAGUUCUAGACCCAAAUGUAAUAACAUGGACUAUACAAAGAACUCACUUCACACGUGGCACAUGACUCACUAAGGACGGUUUCAUUCAGACUCUCACUCAAACAAGUAUUCACAAAGCCAAGAGGUAUAUUAAGCAUAAAGCACAAAGUGAACAUAAGUCAAGCAACUGAGACAUAGGAGUUAUACUAUAUGCUAUUCAUUUUUUAUCAAGGCAUCAUCAUAUAUUUAAAAUCAAGGAAAGGUGAAACACAUGUCAGAACACCAAAUAUGCAACCAUCAAACAAGUCAAAAAGUGCAAAUCACAUCAGUUCUUCUUCUUUAUUUCCUACAUACUACUAUAAAGUAAAAAUAAAAAAUAAUAAAAAUUAAAACUACUACCCGGUUCAAGUUACAUCCUAUAGAAAAGAACCGAGGCACUAAAAAAAAUCACGGGGGAAUUAUUACUACCUAAGAAAAAUAAAAGACAUGUUUUUAUUUUUUUGUAUGUUUAGACUUAAAUCCCUCAAGAAAAUUGUCUUUGAGAUCCAUCGUUGGGAAAAGUCCAAAUAUGUUUUUAUAAAAAAAACUAUCAAUUAAACUAACACAACUAAAAUAGCAUUGAAAGUCACCCAGACAAUCUCCUCACUUCACACUUAAAAUUGUGCAUUGUCCCCAAUGCACAACAUAAAUAAUAAGAGGGUAAAAGAAACUCCUUGGUAGGCCAAAGGCCGAAGCACUAACAGCUCAUGGGGUACUCAGUCUUCUCCCGAAUCUUUUCCUUUGUGCGGGCACUCCACACUUAGUUAUAACCAUCUGGCUUGUUAUUGCAUAAUUCAAAUAGCUAUGCUUCCCAUGCUCCUAAAAACUAAAAAAUGACACUACAAAAAUAAUAUAAAAAACUAAAAUAAAAAAAAAGCAGUAAAGUUGGGUUGCCUCCCAACAAGCACCUGAUUUAACAUCGCGGCACGACGAGAACCACUUUCUGCAUCCACCUCGAGCUUAUGAAUUGAACCUCCAAUUUGGCUUCAAGUUUUCGGUUAUGAUCCAGGGGUGGUGGAAUAAAUCUAAUUGGCCUAAGCAACCAUUGUACUAUUCUACACUUCUUGGCUUUUAGAUGAGGUAUGUAGUCCUGUCUUUCUGGCAAGAAAAAUUCCAGAAUGUAGGCACCUUGUUCUUCAUUCCUUGACUCCUCAGUCGGCUCGGAUGACUCUAUUUCCAUAUCGUCAUCCAAGCACAAUGUGGAAAAAUGUUUGGAGUAAGGACCAAUGCGCUCAAACACAUAAACUUCAGGACUUUCAACGUCCUCAACAUCAAUGAUACUAGAGUCAACAAAAUUUAUAUCCUCAUUAUCCUUGGCUGACUCUAGUCUCGCAUCUUCAACAUCGACAUCCUCAAAUUGUAGUUGGCUAGGUUGUUGAUGUUCUACUUUGACCUCCUCCAUUAGUACCUCGAAUCUUCUUGGCUACUAUCCCUAAUAUUAGCUUGUUGAGCAUUAAAAGCUUUAACCACUUGACUCACUUGAGCCUCCAAGUUGUGAAUAGUUGCCUCUUGCCUUUCUGUUUGCAAUUGUUUCUCAUUAUUUUGUUCCAGAAGGAACUUUAACAUAUCCGUGAUCUCCUUCAGGUCUGCAUCCCCAGGUUCUUUGUUCAUAUUAACUUCACAAGAAAAAGUGAAACCAUCAUAGUAAGGGGUUGGGGGGAGGAUAAGAAAUAUAAGCACAACCAUGAAAGUGACCAUUUCAACCACCACACACAUCACACACAUUUCACAAAUAAAAUUGAGUUGGUGCACAUAACUCACUUCGAGAAUAUUUUGAUAAUUUGGCCAUAAGUGGUUUCUUUCACAAUAUAUAUAAGGAUCAAUAGUAGAAUUAUCUACACCUAAACUCCCAAAAUUCCAAGAUAUCAUGUUUCUCAAAUCAACAAGUAGAAUAAAAUAAAAUUAAAAAAUAAACAAAACAAAAUAAAAGUUCAAACUUGAAACCUAGCAAUAUAUAAAGCUACAACUACACCGUUAGUUCUCUGAGAACGGUGCCAAAAUUUGAUCACGCCUAACUCUAUCCCUAAAAAAGAUAAGCGGUCGCUGCAAAUAUAAUCCGGUCUAAGAGUCCGGAGUCGAAUCCCAUAUAGAACUAAGGUUUUAAUACAACUGUUGACUAUCACUAAGAAGACAAGCUCGAACAAUUCCAAAGUUAUAAAUAUUAAGAUUCUUAUAUCCAACUAAUUAACUAACAAAUUAAAGUAGUAAAUUAACAACUAGGGAUACUAAGGGUUGGAAAAAAGAUUAAGGAGGUCUAGAGUUAUGAUUUCCCCAAUUGUCGGAAUCCUUCCCACUACAUAUUCUAUAAUUUCGCCUAAGUAUUCUCUACUGAUCAUGAUCACUCGACUUAUCGUAAUUCUCUCUUGAGCAACUACAACAAUGUGCUAGUCAUAUUCUCUCGAGUUAAGGUAGCUCACACUUUUUCACCGCUCACUAUGAUCAUGUUAAAACUUCGUUAUAUCUAAUCCUGUUGUUAAACCCGCCGUAUUGAUCUUUCAUAUACGUUAAGAGUGACGUUGUUCAACAACCACCUAAAUAUAUACUCUUUUUCAAGCAAUACAUAAUAAAUAGGCACUGUUAAUUGAGAGCUCUUCAAUUAACUAAAAUAAGCACAUAGUUGAACAAAUAGAAAAAUUCAAAAACUCAAUUAUGUCAAAACGUAUCAAGAAUUCAUCCUACAAAAGGUUUCAUCAAAACCCUAGAUAACAAAUUAGCUAUUCAUAAUAGGGUGCAAAACUACAAUACUAUAAUUCAUAAUCAAUAAUGAAAAUAGGAAGAAGGGAGUGAAAAACUCGUAGAAGAAUUCUCUGUCUUGCUCCUAGCGUGUUCUUGCCUCCUUGGGUCGAAUACCCUCUCUAAUGAUGUCUCCCCCUCUUAAAACUAACUUUAAGGGUCGAAUACCCUCUCUAAUGAUGUCUCCCUCUCUAAAAACUAACUUUAAGGGGUAUUUAUAGGGUAAUGGACGACUUUACAUGUCCAAUACUAAUGAGGAAUUAAACUUUUUUUUGCAUGGCAUUGUUGGUGCCUUGCACUGCCUGUAGCACUGUCGUUUUGGUGCAAGGCACUGUCUGUAGCACUGUCUUUUCAGGGCAAGGCACUGUCUAUGGCACUGAUGACAGUGCCUUGAAUAAUGCCUUGCACUGUCUACGGCACUGUUGUUACCGCGCAAGGCACUGUCUAUGGCACUGACUUUUUGUUGCCUUGCACGUCUUCUUUUAUUGCUCCAUUUUAUAGAUCUGAGGUACUAUUUCGUGCAAAUUUUCUCCACUUCAUGUCCAAGCAUUCCUACACAUGAAAUAAGCUCUAUUAAGCGCAAUUAUCGCAAAAAUUAGCAUCCAAACAACAAGCAAGUAGGGUAAAUAAUGUCAAAAUAUAUGGAAUUAUUUCAUGAUAUCAGCAGGGGAGGCUCGGGUAUUGCAAUUGCGAUACCUUGUUUGCAUUUGCAAAUUCUGGACUUGGGUAGACAAAGUCUGGACUUGGGUAGCGAGGAGGAUGGACUUCGCAUUUGCGAAGUCUAUGUCGCAAUUGAGACAUCUCCUCAGUGAGUCAGUUGCCGCAAUUGCGAGCUUUUCUUUUGAGUCGCAAUUGCGACAUCUGCAACUGAACAAAGGGCUGGGAGUUGGAAUUUUAUAUCAUUUUCUCUCAUUUUAGAACCCUAUACUCAGUAGGAGGCGAUUUGGAGAGAGGUUUUCAUCUACAAAUAUUGGAUGAGUGAUUCUAAUCAAUUUCCAACUAUAUUUCAUGAUUAUAUCUUAGAUUUAACAUCAAAUGUAUGCGAAUCAAAGAGAAAAAUUGGGGCUUUUUGUCAAAGUUUUGAAAAACGAAGAUUUGAGCUUUGAGAGUCGAUAUGGACUCAGAUUUAAAAAUAAAAUAUGUAUAUGGACUCGUAGAGUUACGGGUAGUCAGAAUCUAGCCUUGGACCCGGGUUUUGACCGGGCAGGCCCGGAAUUGACUUUUGUUAACUUUUUGGAAAAUGUGUAAUGAUCAUAACUUUAUCUAUUGUAAUUGGUUUCCCUGUCAUUGUUUGAUAAUAUUAAGUCAUUUUUUGUUAGAAUUGAGCCGUAUGGAGGCGAGUUUUAGAGGAAAAGCUAUAUUCGAGGGUUGAUUUGGCCUAGUUGAGGUAAGUAUCUUGCCUAACUUUGUGUGGAAAACUAUCCCUUAGGAUUUGGGUUGUUUCUAAUAAUUGUACUAUGUGAAAAAUGUGUACACAAGGUGACGAGUAUGUACACGGGCUAUAUGUGGUAUUUUGACCGGUUUAGUCUUCUUCCAUGCCAUUACUUGAAUUUGUUAUAACAUGUUACAUCUUUUAUUGUUAAAUUUAUUCUUACAUAUUCUAAUUGAUGUUGUUAGCAUUUGUUUUACCCUUUAUUGUUGUAAUUGCUCUUAUAUGCUUAAUUGAAGUUGCUACCUUCCUUAUUGUCUUGUUACCCCUUUUAUUGUUGAAAUACUCUUACUUGAAGUUGUUACUUUGUGGAAUAUCUUCUUGUUGAGUGAUUGGUGUUGAAGUUGUGGAAAUCAUUAUCACAUUGAGGUUGAAGUUAUUAAUUGUUGACUAUUCCUCAUUUUGAUAUUAUUGAGAUUCUUAUACACAUAUGAUUGAGCCAUGAGCUCUACCUUGUGGUAACAUUGAUAUUGUUGAUUUUUGCAAGUGUUGUGGCAUAUGUGCACAUGUGGUGCGAGUUGAUUAUUGUGUUGUGAUAUUGAUACGCAUGCAAUGGUAUAAGGAUAGGGGUUGAUACGCAUGCAGUGAGAUAAGGUGAGAAAUUAUACGUGUGUUGCUAGUAAGAUAAAUUACUUGAAGACAUGAGAUGAGAUAAGGGAGCUAAAACGCGUGUAGCCAUUUCGGAAAAAUAUUUUCAAAAAUAAAUAUAAGGCUCACGCGGUGAUAUAAGAAAAUAUUAUGAUUGAAACUGUAAAAUGUGAUAUGAGACGGUACGUCAGUUGUGAUUCUUGUUGUACAUUUCAUGCUAAAAGAGGCUUGUUGGUUGAAUAGUGCUUGUUGUUUCUUCAUUCUCCUACUUGUAGUUGUCCAGGUUUGACUACUUGUUGUUUCAUCAUGUGUUCACUACUUGUUGUCUUUACCGUUUAGAUUUCCGUUGUUAGCUUAUAUUAUUGAACUGCUCAUCUGUCAUUUACUUCCUCGGGAUCCAUUAUUAGACUAUGCUAUAUUCUGUUCAGUUUCUUAUCCUAGUAGGUGUCUUGACCUGGUCUCGUCACUACUCUACCGAGGUUAGGCUUGAUACUUAUUGGGUGCCAUUGUGGUAUACUCAUAUUACGCUUCUGCAUAUUUUGUGCAAAUCCAGGUACAUCCGCCCGUGCUAGACGCCAAUGACUGAUUAGCUAUUUUCGAAGACUUCAAGGUAUACCUGCUCGACAUUUGCAGGUCUCGAAGUCACCUUCUGUUUAGAUGUUCUACUAUUUAUUUCCUCUUCAAAAUAAUAUUGUAUGUCUAGAACUUUAGUGCACUCGUUGUAGAGCUUAUGACUCAGUUCCACCAGAUUUUGGGAGAUAUUUGUCGGUUGUAACUAUUGGG